GCCCUUAUAGCUCAGUGGUAGAGCGCUGCACUUGUAAUGCAGAGGUCCAUCGUUCGAACCGGUGUGGGGGCA